UGUAUACAUUCUUUGCAAUUCAAUGAAAGAUGAAGCUCUAUCUCUUCAUCCUUGCAAUUCUCACUGCUGUGGUCAGCACAGGAGCUCAAGUCAAACACAGGGACACAGGCAUGUUUGGAUGUUUUGACACAAAACAAGGAGAGUACUUCUAUGCACUUGAUGGGGAUGAAAUGGGACAUGCAGACUACGUUCAGAAAAAGUUUUUUAUGACACUGCCUGAAUUUGCUGCUGCUUUCUCGUACGGAGAUGAUAUGUAUGCCGAUGCUGAGGGUAAACAAGGCGCUUGUAAACAAAACAUACAAAGUAGUAUUAAGGGUCACAACAAUCCAGAGGAAGUAUUAGAACCACCAACAGGCUCCCUCUACCCCAGGAAUGAUGUGACACUCGGUAUGGAAAACAGGCUCAUUUGUCAUGUCACUGGAUUUUUUCCUCCUGCACUCAAAGUAAGGUGGACAAGGAACAAUGAGGAUGUGAGAGAAGGGGUCGCUGUAAGCCAAUUUCAACCUAAUAAAGAUGGCACCUUCAACAUGUUCUCCACAUUGAGUAUCACUCCAGAACAGGGGGACAUCUACACCUGCACAGUGGAACACCAGGCCCUCCAACAACCCCUAACCAAAGAGUGGGAUGCGGAUUCUGAGAUUACUGUGCCCAGUAUUGGUCCAUCUGUGUUCUGUGGAGUGGGUCUGACUGUAGGGCUGCUGGGAGUGGCAGUUGGAACAUUCUUCCUCGUCAAAGGCAACAACUGCAACUGACACUGCAGAAGAAAGCCAUAGAAGGCCAAAGAAUCCUUGCCUCACUCCCUGCAGCAUUCAUUUUGCUCUCUCUCUCUCUCUUUCUGUUAGAUCCGUGAUAGCACCUGGCCAUCCUCAUCUCACCUCACCAGUGCACUGCAUCUAUCAGUGGAAAGCUACAUCCCAACCACCUAUUCUCUUAAUUUCACCUACA